UAGUGUAACAACACGUUCAGUGGAAUGCUAGUCCUCUGGAAAAAUUGUUAAAGGGUGAGGUCUUAGAUUCGAAAAACUCCAAACAUACUAACAAAAUGUAUAAUGGGUCAGAAGGGCUUAUAGGAUCGAUGCGCUGUAACGCCAACUGAAUUCCACGGAACAGGUUGUUACAUAUAGAGUUUGUAAGAUUGAAGGAAAAAUUAACAU
rnacentral:sRNA from 1 species